CAAACUCAAACCCUUAUAAUAUUUCACAAAAACGCGCUCAAUCGAUCCCAUCCUCUCAAUUGUGCCACUCAUUUCACCUCUUUACCAUCAACACAGCCGUCCGCCGUCCUCGCCUCUCCACUGUCAGUGCCGCCGCCCAUCUUCGCCUCGCCACCGUUAUGUAGAGAGCAUUUCAGUGGGAGAAGGAGCUUUGUAACUCCGUACAGCUCAUCGACAUCGUCGUUACACCUGUCCAAAUCAAGCCCCUCAGCUCUGGAAAGGUCGUCACUUGGUCUCGCCUCGCCGUCAAGAAAUCCUCUACCGACACUGCCUAUGCCCACAACAACCGACACGUGUGGAAUGUGGAUUAUGUAAUGAGGUACAUGAAAGACCUUAUUUGAGAUCAAAGCAUCCUAACCAAGACAAAUGAUGAUCAAGCUAGAACCAUAGUUGAGGAACUUGCAGAGGAUGGGAAACCAGUUAGUGUGGACACGCCUCUAUUUACCAUUGAGCCAUGAAGAAUUAAGCCUCUAUUUACCAUUAACAAAUUGCAAAUAAUAACAAAACAUUGCUACUGGUGCACCGACAUUGGUAUUACAGAAGAAUAUCGUCAAUUUGAAAAUAAUUGUUGUAGUGUCCGUAUAUUAUUGGGUACCAUUGGGUAUUAGUAGUCAUUGAUCUUUCGUUGAUGAUAGUGUACUAUCUUGAUUCAUUUUGUCAUGGUCAAAUCGACUCAAUUUGAAAAUUGUAAUAAACACUAGUCUUCAGAUUUAUGGAACAACUAAAGGGAUGAAUAGAAAGCCAACUUGGAAAGUUGUUGAGUGCCCACAACAAUUGAUACGCGUGGAAUGUGGAUUUUGUGUAAUGAAGUACAUGAAACACCUUAUUAGAGAUCAAGGCAUCCUAACCAAAACAAAUUUCAAUGGGAAGACGACUUACAUGGAAUCCGUACCAUUGCAUGUGGAGUGGAUCAACUUCGUCCUAGAAAACAUGUGAUUAUCUUCUAUCUGAGGUAUAAAUUCGUCAAAAUCAGUUUGAGUUGGAGAAUUAUUAGAAGCAAUUUCUUCUUCAGGUAAAUGUGUGUGUGUAGAAUAAACAAGUUUACUAAUUUAAGAGGAAGUAGUAUUAUCAAUGCCUUUUAAUUU